rnacentral:rRNA from 1 species
CGGAGAGGGAGCCUGAGAGACGGCUACCAUAUCCAAGGAUAGCAGCAGGCGCGUAAAUUACCCACUGUGGACUCCACGAGGUAGUGACGAGAAAUAUCGAUGCGAAGCGUGUAUGCGUUUUGCUAUCGGAAUGAGAGCAAUGUAAAACCCUCAUCGAGGAUCAACUGGAGGGCAAGUCUGGUGCCAGCAGCCGCGGUAAUUCCAGCUCCAGAAGCAUAUGCUAAAGUUGUUGCAGUUAAAAAGCUCGUAGUUGAAUUUCUGGCAUGGGCGACCGGUGCUUUCCCUGAAUGGGGAUUGAUUGUCUGUGUUGCCUUGGCCAUCUUUCUCWUGUYKUUUUUGGUAAGARAUCUUUCACUGUAAUCAAAGCAGAGUGUUCCAAGCAGGUCGUAUGACCGGUAUGUUUAUUAUGGGAUGAUAAGAUAGGACUUGGGUGCUAUUUUGUUGGUUUGCACGCCUGAGUAAUGGUUAAUAGGAACAGUUGGGGGUAUUCGUAUUUAGGAGCUAGAGGUGAAAUUCUUGGAUUUCCGAAAGACGAACUAGAGCGAAGGCAUUUACCAAGCAUGUUUUCAUUAAUCAAGAACGAAAGUCUGGGGAUCGAAGAUGAUUAGAUAC